rnacentral:rRNA from 1 species
AGUCGAGCGGAAGGCCCCUUCGGGGGUACUCGAGCGGCGAACGGGUGAGUAACACGUGAGCAACCUGCCCCUGACUUUGGGAUAAGCCCGGGAAACUGGGUCUAAUACCGGAUACGACCAUUUCGGGCAUCUGGAGUGGUGGAAAGUUUUUCGGUUGGGGAUGGGCUCGCGGCCUAUCAGCUUGUUGGUGGGGUGAUGGCCUACCAAGGCGACGACGGGUAACCGGCCUGAGAGGGCGACCGGUCACACUGGGACUGAGACACGGCCCAGACUCCUACGGGAGGCAGCAGUGGGGAAUAUUGCGCAAUGGGCGGAAGCCUGACGCAGCGACGCCGCGUGGGGGAUGACGGCCUUCGGGUUGUAAACCUCUUUCAGCAGGGACGAAGCUAACGUGACGGUACCUGCAGAAGAAGCGCCGGCUAACUACGUGCCAGCAGCCGCGGUAAUACGUAGGGCGCAAGCGUUGUCCGGAAUUAUUGGGCGUAAAGAGCUCGUAGGCGGUUUGUCGCGUCUGUCGUGAAAGCCCACGGCUUAACCGUGGGUCUGCGGUGGAUACGGGCAGACUAGAGGCAGGUAGGGGAGAAUGGAAUUCCCGGUGUAG